rnacentral:rRNA from 1 species
ACACUAUCAUUAACUGAAUCCAUAGGUUAAUGAGGCGAACCGGGGGAACUGAAACAUCUAAGUACCCCGAGGAAAAGAAAUCAACCGAGAUUCCCCCAGUAGCGGCGAGCGAACGGGGAGCAGCCCAGAGCCUGAAUCAGUGUGUGUGUUAGUGGAAGCGUCUGGAAAGGCGCGCGAUACAGGGUGACAGCCCCGUACACAAAAAUGCACAUGCUGUGAGCUCGAUGAGUAGGGCGGGACACGUGGUAUCCUGUCUGAAUAUGGGGGGACCAUCCUCCAAGGCUAAAUACUCCUGACUGACCGAUAGUGAACCAGUACCGUGAGGGAAAGGCGAAAAGAACCCCGGCGAGGGGAGUGAAAAAGAACCUGAAACCGUGUACGUACAAGCAGUGGGAGCACGCUUAGGCGUGUGACUGCGUACCUUUUGUAUAAUGGGUCAGCGACUUAUAUUCUGUAGCAAGGUUAACCGAAUAGGGGAGCCGAAGGGAAACCGAGUCUUAACUGGGCGUUAAGUUGCAGGGUAUAGACCCGAAACCCGGUGAUCUAGCCAUGGGCAGGUUGAAGGUUGGGUAACACUAACUGGAGGACCGAACCGACUAAUGUUGAAAAAUUAGCGGAUGACUUGUGGCUGGGGGUGAAAGGCCAAUCAAACCGGGAGAUAGCUGGUUCUCCCCGAAAGCUAUUUAGGUAGCGCCUCGUGAAUUCAUCUCCGGGGGUAGAGCACUGUUUCGGCAAGGGGGUCAUCCCGACUUACCAACCCGAUGCAAACUGCGAAUACCGGAGAAUGUUAUCACGGGAGACACACGGCGGGUGCUAACGUCCGUCGUGAAGAGGGAAACAACCCAGACCGCCAGCUAAGGUCCCAAAGUCAUGGUUAAGUGGGAAACGAUGUGGGAAGGCCCAGACAGCCAGGAUGUUGGCUUAGAAGCAGCCAUCAUUUAAAGAAAGCGUAAUAGCUCACUGGUCGAGUCGGCCUGCGCGGAAGAUGUAACGGGGCUAAACCAUGCACCGAAGCUGCGGCAGCGACGCUUAUGCGUUGUUGGGUAGGGGAGCGUUCUGUAAGCCUGNGAAGGUGUGCUGUGAGGCAUGCUGGAGGUAUCAGAAGUGCGAAUGCUGACAUAAGUAACGAUAAAGCGGGUGAAAAGCCCGCUCGCCGGAAGACCAAGGGUUCCUGUCCAACGUUAAUCGGGGCAGGGUGAGUCGACCCCUAAGGCGAGGCCGAAAGGCGUAGUCGAUGGGAAACAGGUUAAUAUUCCUGUACUUGGUGUUACUGCGAAGGGGGGACGGAGAAGGCUAUGUUGGCCGGGCGACGGUUGUCCCGGUUUAAGCGUGUAGGCUGGUUUUCCAGGCAAAUCCGGAAAAUCAAGGCUGAGGCGUGAUGACGAGGCACUACGGUGCUGAAGCAACAAAUGCCCUGCUUCCAGGAAAAGCCUCUAAGCAUCAGGUAACAUCAAAUCGUACCCCAAACCGACACAGGUGGUCAGGUAGAGAAUACCAAGGCGCUUGAGAGAACUCGGGUGAAGGAACUAGGCAAAAUGGUGCCGUAACUUCGGGAGAAGGCACGCUGAUAUGUAGGUGAAGUCCCUUGCGGAUGGAGCUGAAAUCAGUCGAAGAUACCAGCUGGCUGCAACUGUUUAUUAAAAACACAGCACUGUGCAAACACGAAAGUGGACGUAUACGGUGUGACGCCUGCCCGGUGCCGGAAGGUUAAUUGAUGGGGUCAGCGCAAGCGAAGCUCUUGAUCGAAGCCCCGGUAAACGGCGGCCGUAACUAUAACGGUCCUAAGGUAGCGAAAUUCCUUGUCGGGUAAGUUCCGACCUGCACGAAUGGCGUAAUGAUGGCCAGGCUGUCUCCACCCGAGACUCAGUGAAAUUGAACUCGCUGUGAAGAUGCAGUGUACCCGCGGCAAGACGGAAAGACCCCGUGAACCUUUACUAUAGCUUGACACUGAACAUUGAGCCUUGAUGUGUAGGAUAGGUGGGAGGCUUUGAAGUGUGGACGCCAGUCUGCAUGGAGCCGACCUUGAAAUACCACCCUUUAAUGUUUGAUGUUCUAACGUUGACCCGUAAUCCGGGUUGCGGACAGUGUCUGGUGGGUAGUUUGACUGGGGCGGUCUCCUCCUAAAGAGUAACGGAGGAGCACGAAGGUUGGCUAAUCCUGGUCGGACAUCAGGAGGUUAGUG